rnacentral:rRNA from 1 species
CCUACGGGCGGCAGCAGUGAGGAAUAUUGGUCAAUGGGCGUGCGCCUGAACCAGCCAAGUAGCGUGAAGGAUGACUGCCCUACGGGUUGUAAACUUCUUUUAUAAAGGAACAAAGUGAGGCACGUGUGCCUUUUUUUAUGUACUUUAUGAAUAAGGAUUGGCUAACUCCGUGCCAGCAGCCGCGGUAAUACGGAGGAUCCGAGCGUUAUCCGGAUUUAUUGGGUUUAAAGGGAGCGUAGAUGGGUUGUUAAGUCAGUUGUGAACGUUUGCGGCUCAACCGUAAAAUUGCAAUUGAAACUGGCAGUCUUGAGUACGGUUGAGGUAGGCGGAAUGCGUGGUGUAGCGGUGAAAUGCAUAGAUAUCACGAAGAACUCCGAUUGCGAAGGCAGCUUACUAAACUGCCACUGACAUUGAUGCUCGAAAGUGUGGGUAUCAAACAGGAUUAGAUACCCGGGUAGUC